rnacentral:rRNA from 1 species
GUGUCAGCAGCCGCGGUAAUACGUAGGUGGCAAGCGUUGUCCGGAUUUAUUGGGUUUAAAGGGUGCGUAGGCGGCCUAUUAAGUCAGUGGUGAAAUAUCUCAGCUCAACUGAGAGUGUGCCAAUGAUACUGAUGGGCUUGAGUACAGAUGAGGUAGGCGGAAUUGACGGUGUAGCGGUGAAAUGCUUAGAUAUCGUCAAGAACACCUAUAGCGAAGGCAGCUUACUAGGCUGUAACUGACGCUGAGGCACGAAAGUGUGGGGAUCAAACAGGAUUAGAAACCCGUGUAGUCC